ensembl:lncRNA
AAGUACGUCACGGGUGUGUUUCCUUGAAAACCUGUGGCAAUGAACCUAAAGGUGGACUGUUCUGAAGCCGGAAGUGAAACACAGGUAAAUGUAAAGAGGAAAAUCCCAUCGUAACUCUCGCAGCGCUGUCUCUUAUCCCACGAAGCGAUGGGCACGUGCCAAGUCUAGGAGCAGCAGCUGGCGAGUGCUGAGUCACAGGCAGGGCAGAAACCCGUGCGUUUAGCAACCCGAGAGCAGCAGUUUCUUUUGCUGAUGAGAAUGUGUUAACAAACCCAUCUCAUUGUGUGGGUGUCUGGGUGGGGAGGCACGUAACAUCACUGUACCAUGGCAACAACCCCAUACUUGCACUGAGAAUCAUGUUUUAUAUCUGCGUUUCGGGCAGCUAGUACCGUCCCAAGUAAUUCCUUUUAAAAAUGAUUUAUUUCUCUUCUCAUUCUUCUAUAAAGUUUAAAAAACAAGCUUUGUCUGCCCCUCUGUUAUCAAACGCUGGAUAUCCAAGUGGAUCCUUCACUUAGGAAGGCUUCAGAAAUGCUUUGGGGACGAUCUUCACGAACAAACAGUACCUGGAAGUGCUGUAUAACCUGUAUUUUCAGGAAACUUCCAACUCAUUCCUCCAUAGAGAAGAGGCGCAGGAAUCCGUAUCUCUGCUUUCUCCAGCAUUAGUGAAAGAAGGACACUUGACCACCUUUCCCUCUAGUGCAAACAGUGAAUUCAGGCAGAGAGAGAGGCCAGAAAACUGGAUAGGGGCAGAAGUCAGACACGGGCCGAUACACGAGGUCUGCUGGGAACCUCAGCUCCUUUGGUAUUAGAUGGAUUUACCUGGAUUUUUGCUUAUGGACUCUCACAUCCCUAGCGCAUCAGAGUGCUCUGCUGGUAACUUCCUGGCUGUACCACAGAGACUGGAAAGAAGCAGAGAGAAGCCGCAUCGUGCUAAUGCUUGUAGGGAAGCAUGAAACAAGCUGAUGUGGUUUUCCGGGUCUGCCAGAUACUGGCAUUUUUUCUUCUGCUCCAGAGAGGCUCGCUAAUGAGGAGUCGAGGCUAUCCACUGCACGCCCAAAGAAGUACAAUUAGCAUCUUGACCCUAAGAUAUGAGCUGUUAGUUUGGAGAGGUGGUGAGUAGCUUCGGUUUCAAUUGAAUGCUGGUAGUGAAGUGAUUAUUUUCAUUUGUACCUUUUUCCUAUCUCAAGGCAGCGCAGCUCAACUCUUAGAGAAGAAGCUAGAAUCAUGGGUGGGGAAAAGUAAACAAACGUCAAGGGCUUUCUUAAUACCAAUAACCUGUUAUUAUGUUCUGAAAUUAAAAAAAAAAAAAAACCAACCAAGGCAAGUCUGUGGUUUGUGAGAAUCUACCUCAACAGAUUACAGGGGAAAGUAGGAGGCAGAAGGAGAGAGAGAUGUACUCCAGAUGGAGGACUGAGAAGUGUUUCCUGAGUGUGCAGUACUUGCUGCUGUGCCAGGAGACUGUUUUAGAUCAGACCAUUGGAUGAAGCAACAGAAGGUCGCUUUGGAUAAGCCCCCAGACUUCAAAACAUAAUUCAAGCUAUUCAGACUUCCCAUGUCUGUAAAUCUCAGGAGGAGCAAUCAUGAGAAUAGCGUCUUAUGACCUUGCUGGCACUUCUGCUUCUAAGUAGAUGCUGGAAAACCCAAAACUCUCUCUUUACACGUGAGAAUAUGGAGAGAAGUUUUGUUCACAUUCAAUUUUGAAAACUAGUGGUUUGGAAUUCAUCAUUGUAUCCUAAAACUAGCAUUUAUUAAACAUUUAAUGGAGAUUUUUGAAGCUCUAGUUAGGAUACUAGAACACGCUAAUCUGACCGUCCACAUAACUCUCUCUGAGGUGUUUACAGCUAAAACAUAAAAAUUUUAAAGUUGUAAAGGCAAAUUUCAGAGAAUUUCCCAAAAGUAUAGCUAUGUUGACUACAUAUCGACUCACAGCCUUCUCAUUAGACAAACUGAGCUGCAAAAUCAGCUUUGAAUCAGUAUUUUCUCCCCAUUUAAUCUUGGAGAAUUAUUAAUAAUUUAUGUGAAGAAAAUAUGUAACAAUAUUUAGCUUACUGUUUGAGUUAAAGAUCACCUGGUUCUUGCAUGAUUCAGAAUAGGUUAUCCCAUAAUCUCAGUAUGCUAUAACCUGGUGGGAAUACUCUUGCUCCAAAACAUUUGUUUGUAAAGUACCUACAUUCCAUUGAUUCACGCUGAAUAUUAUGCCCCUACAUAAGUAGACUGGAGUGGAUCUUUCUUUGCUAAAGAAAUUAAAUGAUGCUUUCGUUGCAGGGGAUGAUUUUAUAACAAACUGAGUUGGAAUGCAAAGCUUGUAAUUUUUGGUGAUAUUUAGUUCUCCUUUGUUUUCAUUUUUUUCCUCAUAUCCUUCUAUUAAGAUGUAAUGAGAAACGUGUAUUUUAUGAAUUGUUUUAAAGUAUGUGCACAAGGCACCACUGACCUGUAGAACUCCUUUAGCUAGAUAUCUUAAUUGCCCCUAUACUAACUACAGCACAAAAGCACUUUUAUCAGUCACAGAAAUGAUUGGAAUGUGAAUUCCUAUUACCUGAAUUGUAUCAAACUGUUAAUAAUGUGUAUCUCAGCAGAUGAGUUAAAAAAAACAAAGAAUAAAUGAAAUUUAUAGAGGUAAACA